rnacentral:rRNA from 1 species
GACGAACGCUGGCGGCGUGCCUAAUACAUGCAAGUUGAGCGCUGAAGGUUGGUACUUGUACCAACUGUAUUAGCAGCGAACGGGUGAGUAACGCGUGGGUAAUCUGCCUUUGAGCGGGGGACAACAUUUGGAAACGAAUGCUAAUACCGCAUAAAAACUUUAAACACAAGUUUUAAGUUUGAAAGAUGCAAUUGCAUCACUCAAAGAUGAUCCCGCGUUGUAUUAGCUAGUUGGUGAGGUAAAGGCUCACCAAGGCGAUGAUACAUAGCCGACCUGAGAGGGUGAUCGGCCACAUUGGGACUGAGACACGGCCCAAACUCCUACGGGAGGCAGCAGUAGGGAAUCUUCGGCAAUGGACGAAAGUCUGACCGAGCAACGCCGCGUGAGUGAAGAAGGUUUUCGGAUCGUAAAACUCUGUUGGUAGAGAAGAACGUUGGUGAGAGUGGAAAGCUCAUCAAGUGACGGUAACUAACCAGAAAGGGACGGCUAACUACGUG